GGCGGAUGUAGCCAAGUGGAUAAAGGC
rnacentral:tRNA from 1 species